rnacentral:rRNA from 1 species
ACCCCAUGGGGCGAGCACACACAAACAAAGAGUUGGUCUUGCGUUGUAAAUUGAUGAUGCGUCGCCUAGUGUUGGAUGUUUCGGUUAAAGUCUCUUGGAAUAGAGCGUCAGAGAGGGUGAUAAUCCCGUGAUUGAUCGAAACUGUCCGGCGCGUUAUGGUGGCGUGUCUUAGAGUCGGAAUGUUUGGGAUUGCAUUUCAAAGUGGGUGGUAGACUCCAUCUAAGGCUAAAUACUGGCGAGAGACCGAUAGCGAACAAGUACCGUGAGGGAAAGUUGAAAAGCACUCUGGAGAGAGAGUCAAACAGUACGUGAAAUUGCUAGCAGGGAAACGUUGGACGUCAGUACACGGCUAUCAACUGUUGACGAUCAGUCGGAGGUGAAUGGGUAGUAGGUUUGGGUGUUUAAUCGCUUUAGGGAUUAUCUCAAACGAUAACCCACCAAGUCUAUAAACUUGUUUGCACCGAUGCAUUCGUCGACGGCCGGGUCAACAUCGGUUUAAUCGACGUUCGAUAAGCCAUUUGGACAAGGUAGCAUUUGGCUCGGUUCGUCCGGAUCAGUUGAACUUAUAGGUCCGAAUGUGUGAGGAUGUCGCGGACCGAGGAUAACGUUAAGAUUCGUGCAUGCUCCGGCGUGCAGGGCGUAAUGGUAGAGUCAAGGUUGUUCCUGCUACUAGACAACAUGUUGACUAGUAGUAGUUUGUUGGACUUUUUGUCCGGCAGUGAUGAUCGUUCUUCCACUAC